rnacentral:rRNA from 1 species
UACGUAGGUGGCAAGCGUUGUCCGGAUUUACUGGGCGUAAAGAGCGCGCAGGCGGUCGUUCAAGUCGCGUGUGAAAGCCCCCCGGCUCAACUGGGGAGGGUCACGCGAUACUGAUCGACUGGAAGGCAGGAGAGGGUAGUGGAAUUCCCGGUGUAGCGGUGAAAUGCGCAGAUAUCAGGAAGAACACCCGUGGCGAAGGCGGUUCUCUGGAACGCAACUGACGCUGAGACGCGAAAAGCGUGGGGGAGCAAACAGG